AUUGAACGCUGGCGGCAUGCCUUACACAUGCAAGUCGAACGGAUUAAGGGGCUUGCUCCUUAGUUAGUGGCGAACGGGUGAGUAAUGCAUCGGAACGUACCCAAUCGUGGGGGAUAACGUAGCGAAAGUUACGCUAAUACCGCAUAAGUCCUGAGGGAGAAAGCAGGGGAUCGCAAGACCUUGCGCGAAUGGAGCGGCCGAUGUCGGAUUAGCUAGUUGGUGGGGUAAAAGCUCACCAAGGCGACGAUCCGUAGCUGGUCUGAGAGGACGACCAGCCAGACUGGGACUGAGACACGGCCCAGACUCCUACGGGAGGCAGCAGUGGGGAAUUUUGGACAAUGGGGGAAACCCUGAUCCAGCCAUGCCGCGUGAGUGAAGAAGGCCUUCGGGUUGUAAAGCUCUUUCAGACGGAAAGAAAUCUCUUGGGCUAAUACCCUGAGAGGAUGACGGUACCGUAAGAAGAAGCACCGGCUAACUACGUGCCAGCCGCCGCAGUAAAAC
rnacentral:rRNA from 1 species